GACGAACGCUGGCGGCGUGCUUAACACAUGCAAGUCGAGCGGUAAGGCCCUUUCGGGGGUACACGAGCGGCGAACGGGUGAGUAACACGUGGGUGACCUGCCCUCAGCUCUGGGAUAAGCCUGGGAAACCGGGUCUAAUACCGGAUAUGACUCCAUGACGCAUGUUGUGGGGUGGAAAGCCUUGUGCGGCUGAGGAUGGGCCCGCGGCCUAUCAGCUUGUUGGUGGGUGAUGGCCUACCAAGGCGACGACGGGUAGCCGGCCUGAGAGGGCGACCGGCCACACUGGGACUGAGACACGGCCCAGACUCCUACGGGAGGCAGCAGUGGGGAAUCUUGCGCAAUGGGACGAAAGCCUGACGCAGCGACGCCGCGUGAGGGAUGACGGCCU
rnacentral:rRNA from 1 species